AACGAACGCUGGCGGCGUGCUUAACACAUGCAAGUCGAACGCGAAAGGGACUUCGGUACCUGAGUAAAGUGGCGCACGGGUGAGUAACGCGUAGAUAACCUGUCUUCAUGUCUGGAAUAAUACGCCGAAAGGGGUACUAAUACCGGAUAUUCUUGCUUUUCAUAAGUUAUGCAAGCAAAGGUGGCCUCUGCAUAUGCUACUGCAUGAAGAGGGGUCUGCGUACCAUUAGCUAGUAGGUGGGGUAAUGGCCUACCUAGGCGACGAUGGUUAGCGGGUCUGAGAGGAUGAUCCGCCACACUGGCACUGGAACACGGGCCAGACUCCUACGGGAGGCAGCAGUGAGGAAUAUUGCGCAAUGGGGGAAACCCUGACGCAGCGACGCCGCGUGAGUGAGGAAAGGCCUUCGGGUCGUAAAGCUCUGUCAAGAGGAAAGAAGUGUACAAUGGCUAAUACCUGUUGUAUUUGACGGUACCUCUAAAGGAAGCACCGGCUAACUCCGUGCCAGCAGCAGC
rnacentral:rRNA from 1 species